rnacentral:rRNA from 1 species
UACGUAGGGUGCAAGCGUUGCCCGGAUUUAUUGGGCGUAAAGGGCGCGUAGGCGGCUCUGCACGUUCGUUGUGAAAUCGCCCGGCUCAACUGGGCGGGGUCAGCGGAUACGGCAGAGCUUGAGCAAGCUAGGGGGCAAUGGAAUUCCCGGUGUAGUGGUGGAAUGCGUAGAUAUCAGGAGGAACACCAGUGGCGAAGGCGGUUGCCUGGGGCUUUGCUGACGCUGAUGCGCGAAAGCGUGGGGAGCGAUCCGG